rnacentral:rRNA from 1 species
CCUACGGGUGACAGCAGUGGGGAAUAUUGCACAAUGGGGGAAACCCUGAUGCAGCGACGCCGCGUGAGUGAAGAAGGAUUUCGGGAUGGAAAGCUCUAUCAGCAGGGAAGAAAAUGACGGUACGUGAGGAAGAAGCCACGGCUAACUACGUGCCAGCAGCCGCGGUAAUACGUAGGGGGCAAGCGUUAUCCGGAUGUACUGGGUGUAAAGGGAGCGUAGACGGCAGCACACGUCUGGAGGGAAAUGCCGGGGCUUAACCCCGUAACUGCUUUGGAAACUGUGCAGCUAGAGUGCAGGAGAGGUAAGUGGAAUUCCUAGUGUAGCGGUGACAUGCGUAGAUAUUAG